AUUUCUGCCAGCAGGGAGCGUAUUCACAACUACAAGCUCUACGCGCUUCUUCUUUUGUCUUUUUUCUCUUUGCGCUGAUGCCGUUACUGCAGUUUAGAGAGAGUUAGAACAGGAGGCGUCAACAUAACUAGUUACUAAGUAAAUACUGAUUAAAACUGUAUUAUAUCUUGAGUUAUUGAUCCUAGGAGAUUAUCUGCACCUGCCAGGAGGGUUUUUGGUUGCGGGACAUCACCGUGUUGUUGUGUUUUGUCGAGUGAAAACUGCGGUUCUGGUCCUGCUGGGCUCCAAGUCUGAGCUUCUGCUGCAGCCACAGCAUCUUCUCCAUCCGCAUCCUGAGAGUGGAGGACGGCGAGCCGCCACCAGUCCACGCCGUCAGCGCGUUGUGUCUGUGCGACCUGGCAGGCUCUGAGCGCAGCUCCAGGACCCAGAACAAAGGAGAGGACCUGAAGGAGGCUGGAAACAUCAACGCCUCGCUGCUCAUUCUGGGCAAAUGCAUCAAGGCUCUGCAGCACAACCAGCACACCAGGUGGAGGUUGUGAUCUCCAGGCUCCUCCCCGUCGUUCCUCCUGCUUCCUGCAGCAGGAAGACGCUGCAGAGCAGCAGCAGCUCCCUGACCGGCUGGGAAGCCAGUCUGGAAGACCUUCAGGGUGAAGACCAAGACUCCAGUCUGAUGGAGGACAGCAUGGAGGAGACGGCUGACAAGGUGAAGAAGUCGUCAUUAAUAAGAGGCUUCACCAGGUCAGUGGUUUUAGCUGCUCCACAUUUCUCCUGACAUGAAUCCACCUGCUGGGUUUCCUGCUGGAGGCGGCGCCACGUUUACCUUCAUUCUGACGUCAGAACCGCAGCUUCGUCCCUCCUCCUCUUCAUCAGCUGCUGCUGCAGAUUUCUGCAGGAAACCAAGCAGCUUGUGGUCGGGUCUGCAUGUCC